GAGGGUAUAGCUCAGAUGGUAGAGCACAUGCUUAGCAUAGAUGAGGUCCUGGGUUCAAUCCCCAGUACCUCCU
rfam:Camelus ferus unplaced genomic scaffold scaffold142, whole genome shotgun sequence.